CUCCUACGGGAGGCAGCAGUGGGGAAUAUUGCACAAUGGGCGCAAGCCUGAUGCAGCCAUGCCGCGUGUAUGAAGAAGGCCUUCGGGUUGUAAAGUACUUUCAGUAGGGAGGAAGGUGGUUAAGUUAAUACCUUAAUCAUUUGACGUUACCUACAGAAGAAGCACCGGCUAACUCCGUGCCAGCAGCCGCGGUAAUACGGAGGGUGCAAGCGUUAAUCGGAAUUACUGGGCGUAAAGCGCAUGCAGGUGGUUUGUUAAGUCAGAUGUGAAAGCCCUG
rnacentral:rRNA from 1 species